ACAACGAAGAGUUUGAUCCUGGCUCAGGAUGAACGCUAGCGGCAGGCUUAACACAUGCAAGUCGAGGGGUAACAGGGAUUGCUUGCAAUCCGCUGACGACCGGCGCACGGGUGCGUAACGCGUAUGCAACCUACCUUCUACAGGGGGAUAGUCAAUAGAAAUGUUGAAUAAUACCCCAUACGAUCUUUGAAUAGCAUUAUUUAAAGAAGAAAGUUCCGGCGGUAGAAGAUGGGCAUGCGUCCUAUUAGUUAGUUGGAGAGGUAACGGCUCCCCAAGACAUCGAUAGGUAGGGGUCCUGAGAGGGAGACCCCCCACACUGGUACUGAGACACGGACCAGACUCCUACGGGAGGCAGCAGUGAGGAAUAUUGGACAAUGGAGGCAACUCUGAUCCAGCCAUGCCGCGUGCAGGAAGACUGCCCUAUGGGUUGUAAACUGCUUUUAUACAGGAAGAAAUGUACCUACGUGUAGGUAUUUGACGGUACUGUACGAAUAAGGAUCGGCUAACUCCGUGCCAGCAGCCGCGGUAAUACGGAGGAUCCAAGCGUUAUCCGGAAUCAUUGGGUUUAAAGGGUCCGUAGGCGGUCUUUUAAGUCAGAGGUGAAAUCCUACAGCUCAACUGUAGAAUUGCCUUUGAUACUGAAGGACUUGAGUUAUUGUGAAGUAGUUAGAAUGUGUGGUGUAGCGGUGAAAUGCAUAGAGAUCACACAGAAUACCGAUUGCGAAGGCAGAUUACUAACAAUAUACUGACGCUGAGGGACGAAAGCGUGGGUAGCGAACAGGAUUAGAUACCCUGGUAGUCCACGCCGUAAACGAUGGAUACUAGCUGUUCGACCAACAUUGGUUGGUUGAGUGGCUAAGCGAAAG
rnacentral:rRNA from 1 species